CAAGAAUGAUCAUUUUUCUCUGGGAAUAUAUCCAUGGAUCCUCCUACAAAUCUCCAUGUUUUGGCAUAAACGCCCGACUUUUUAAAUCCUAGAAAUGCCCCUGUAUCACAUUACACCCCCACUCACACGCUGCCUGUGUCUUGAGGCAACGUAUUCACUUUUAUUGAGGUUCAGAACGCCUGUAAAGUUUUAUUGGGAUCCAAUUAUUUGAUAUAUUCCAUCCUUGUGGUGGUGUUGCAGGUAAUUUAUUUGUCUUUUGCUUGUUUAGAGAUUUUUUUUUUUGGGUCGCUGUGUGGUUGGGAGCAAGAACAGAAGAGAAGAGAAAUGAAGGCCCUUGUAAAAUUCCAGCAGGAAACUCUUUCAAAAGAAACUAAGAUCUUUGCUUCCAUCCUGCACUGAAUUGACAGGCUUUGUUUAAAACAGGGCAUCAGGGCCAGUUGUGAUUGCUGGAGUGGUAGAGUGAUUGCUGAAGUGGCUUCCCAGAGCUCUACUGAGCUUCAAAUGGAUCACAUCAUGCUUAUAGUAUUAUCAUCAUAUAUUUCCUUUACUUUUAUUUUUUCAUGAAAAAGUACUUUUGUCUAGGAAGCGUACUUCAUUGGGUGUGUGUUUAAUGCUUUAACCCCCUGCUGAAUCUGUCUAGGUGCUGUUUAGUCUAUUACAAUGUGAGAUAUAAUGUAAUAUACAAUAUAAUAUGCGUAUACAGAUGUAAUAUGCGUAUACAGAUACGUAUACAGUUUUGCCAGAUCACUGCAGAGUUUCUUGGUCAGAGUGAAGUUUACAGGUAACAAUUAGACUGUAUACAACAUUUAAUUUCUGUAUAUGAGGAGCAAUAAGUUCAUCCUGUUUCACGGUUCGAGCCCUCUAGACAUUUAAAAAUCCAAGAGCAAAGAACUAAACUCUAAACACCUUGAAGUCAUUAGGUCAAUUAUAUGUAAAUAAUAAAAGGUGGUGUUGUCUGUUUUUUGUUUUUCUGUGCUUUUUCAAUCAACAAUACUUUUGCAUUUGCUCAGACAUGUUAAUAAAUCUGUCUUUUUCUUCUUGGUUGCAUAACAUGACUUCUGCAAUUCCUUUUUUCCAUUCUUUUUUUGUUUGUUUCAUUUUAUAACACUGACUACUUUGCUCUCUUUGUCCUUUUUUACUUUAAAUCAAAACCACCUUUUAACAAAGACCACCAGUAAUGGAAAAAUUAUCAAUAUUAGUAUAAAAAGUGUCUAUACAACAAUCAGCUAUAACAUUAAAACUAUGUUCCUAAUAUUGUGUAGGUCCCUGACUGGCACUCUGACCAGUCUGCAGCUAUGCAUUAACUUUUUUCACUUAUUUUUGCUACAGUAGCUCUUCUGUGGGACCACACCAGACAGGCUAGCCUUCCAGAUGCGCAUCUGAGCCUUGGGUGCUUGUGACCCAGUCAUUGUCCUACCUCAGACCACUUUGGAAUUUUUCGAACAUGCUGCCAACAGGAAAAGGGCAUGAGACCUGUCGUUUCUUAUUGCUUCAGGAGACUCAGAACACAAUCUGACAAGCAUGUCAGGCCAAUCACCUCAGUGCCGGUAUCUCCGACUUUCCUGCUACUGCAUCCCUAUACUCCACUUCAUCCCAGAGGGGAAAAACAGAGAGAUGACAAACACAUUCUCCUCUCCUCAGUACUAUUACCCCAACUUAACUCAAUCUGGCCCUAUGAUUUCCCACUGCCUCCAGAUCAAAUCUCAUUUCCUCGAUUAAUUAUGUAAACUAACUGAAAGAUUAUUCUUCUUUUCUUCUGUUGCACUAAACAAUGAAUCAUAUAGAUGAACUAGGUCACCUGGCAGAUAUUUCAAGAGCCUGGUACACACUCUACAAAUGAGCAAUGCAGAGAUUCACUUUCUGGAUGAGACAUCACAGAACUGCAUCAAGCAAACAGACAUCGAGUGGAAGCAUUCAGUUUGUUGAUGAAGUGGCCAAACUAUUAAUCCUGUUUCAAACUUUAAUGCUGUCCCACAGGGAUGAGAGGCCAUGUCAGAGACUGUGUGUGUGUGUGUGUGUGUGUGUGUGUGUGUGUGUGUGUGUGUGUGUGUGUGUGUGUGUGUGUGUUUGUGAGAACGUGAGAAACGAGGUUCGCCUUGUCUUUGAUGAGAUGUGUUAGGACUAAACCAUCUGUUAUAAGCGGAUCCAUGUUUCAUCAGCCUCCAAUUCCUUUCAUGAUGACAAGUGAUAAUAACUCUCCUACUUGCUUUCCUUGGAAAGGAGACUCUGUGGAGUGUUCUCCACCUCUCCCAAGUGACUCUGGUACAGCGUGUUAACUAAUAUUUGCUGGAGAAGGAGGACAUGACCUUUCCAAAAACAUGACAUCCUGUUACCAUGUACUCUACUUAGGUGUUACACGAAAAACAACUUUGCUCGUUUAUAUAAGAGCAAACCAUAUUACGCUUUUAUCCCCAGCAUGGGGAGUUUGAAAAAUGUGGGUGUUUUCAGGCAAACCAUCAAACCUUAUUGCUACAUCUAUAAACUGUGUACAUGGUUAUUGAUAAUAGAUUGAGAUGAAGCUCCUUCCCAUAAGGGGUUCAAUUCAAGAGAGGAAAAGUUGGUGCAUGAAUGAAUAUUUAUGGCUAAUGUACUGUGAAGAUCCCACAACAUUAAAUGUAGCUACAGUGGAUAAAAUGUACAAUGUGCCAUUCUUACUGUUAUCAUGCUGCAAAUAUUUUCUGCAAAAGUCUUCAGUCCUUUAGAAAUUAAUGGAAACAACAUGACCAUUCCAACUGUAAGGGGAAGCUCAUUUGAUCACUGAGGAGCCAGCAGGAGUGAGUUAUGAAGUAACAUGCAUCUGUACUUAGUAUCUAGUAUCAGAAUCAGAAUGUUUUUAUUUUAUUUGCCAAGUACAGGGUGUACAAGGAAUACUUUUUGGUGCAAGGUCACACAAUACAGUACAAUACAAUACAGUGCAAUAUAAUAUAGUGCAAUACAAUAUAAUAUAGUACAAUACAGUGCAAUACAAUACUGUAUAAUACAAUAUAAUACAGUAUAAUACAAUACAGUGCAAUACAAUACUGUAUAAUACAAUAUAAUACAGUAUAAUACAAUACAAUACAAUAUAAUACAGUACAAUACAAUACAGUGCAAUACAAUACAAUGCUACAUACUACAAUAUAAUACAAUUACAAUACAGUUCAGUACAAACCAAUAUAUGGGGCACGGUGGCUUAGGGGUUAGCAUGUUUGCCUUGCAAACAGGGGUUUGAUUCCCGCCUCCACCCUGUGCCCGCGGAGUGUGCAAGUUCUCCCCGUUCUUCGAUGGUUUCCUCCAGGUACUCUGGUUUCCACCCCCUGUCCAAAGACAUGCACUGUAGGCUCAUUGGCAUCUCUAAAUUGUCCAUAAUGUAUGAAUGGGUGUGUGAGUAUGUGUGUGAUUGUGCCCUGCAGUGGGUUGACACCCCUUCCAAGGUGUCCUCUUCCUUGUACCCCAAGUUCCCUGGGAUGGACUCCAGGCUCUUCACAACCCCGUGUAGGCAGUACAGAAAAUAGAUUGAUGGGUGUAUGGAUGGAUGGACAAUACAGUACUACAUACUAAAAUACUAUAUAAUACAAUACAAUAAAGGACAAUACAAUAGAUCUGUACAGAUAGAUUGUACACUUUGAUUCAUAUGCCCAUUGACCUUGAUCUGCUCAUAAUGCUGUAUUUUGGAUUGUGGAUAUUUGCAAUAAAUCUCCUGCAUAUGUAUCUUAAUCUUGCCCCUGAGUCUUCCUUUAUAUAAGAAGGCUCAGACUUUACUUAGCUAUAUUACUGUAAUAUACUUGCACUGUCAUUCAAAAUGCAUUUUUCUCUCCCUGUAUUUAAUUUAGACCUUCAAAUAGACUUCAUUUCAUACACUCUUUUGCCUGGCUAUUUAUAUCACAUACCUGUGAAAUUUCACUUUAUUUAUUAACUAUAUUUAAACCUUCCAUAAUGACUGUCUGUUAGUCUUGUAUGCUGGAUUGAAACUAUUUUAAUUAGAAAAAAAAAAAAAAUCAAUCUUGUUGAUAACCAUGUUCCUAAUCUGCGUAGGCAGAUUAUUUUAUCACAUAAAAUAAGCCAUGUAAAUAAUUACACAUUUGUGAAGGCAACUGUGAGACCAUGUUGAAAAUAUAUAUUCUGACUUAUCUUAAAUCAAUUUGCUCCAAAAAAUUUAACACUAAAUCAGUAAGAUGCCACCUUAUAUUCAUGCUUAUAUUGCAGAGAUUUGGUGUUUGUAUUUCUGAACCACAGUCUAAAGACAGAGUGUUAAACUUGAUUCUCGCUACAGUUACAUAUGAGAUAUGAGAGUCGUAUGAAAUAACUUGGGAGGUUAUGAAUCAGAUGAGCAGCUGAAUUCUGAAUGCUCUGUAGUAUCUGGAGAUACUACAGUAUGCAAUACUACAAGGCAUUCCCUGCUCUGAGUUAUGCACACUCUGGUGUUGUAGUGUGAACGAGGGGAGCAGUGUGUUUCAUUAUGUCCCUGUUGGCCAGUAAGUCAGCAAUAGAACUUCCCCAGUGCUCCAAAAACGCUGAACACUGGCGCAGUGAAGCAGCGUACGGGCACGCAGCCAAACGGAAAACACAGUGUAAUCUUAUAGGCAGUGGCAAAUAAGCAAAUGUUCUUGGAUAAUCCCAGAUGUCUAUGAUUGCAUGCUGGCGUAACUGUUUGGAGGAAUUCUUAGAUGUCUUAGAUGGAUAUAACCACUGACACAUACAAAAAGCACCAGGGGAAGUUAUUUUUCUUUGUACUUAAGCUUUUGAAAGCUUGUUUAUUUACAGAAGACUGGUGUGAAACAGGAGGACAGUGUCUGCCCAUAAUAUACCUCUGUAAAUUUUAGAACUAGGACAGAAUGAGGUUUUCAAUUAGACAAAGCAGAACAGUGUUUUGUUGUGUAGCAACUUAGAGUUCACUGUAAUUCAGCUUGG